rnacentral:rRNA from 1 species
CCUACGGGAGGCAGCAGUGAGGAAUAUUGGUCAAUGGACGAGAGUCUGAACCAGCCAAGUAGCGUGAAGGAUGACUGCCCUAUGGGUUGUAAACUUCUUUUAUAUGGGAGUAAAAUGUUCCACGUGUCUGAUUUUGUAUGUACCCUAUGAAUAAGGAUCGGCUAACUCCGUGCCAGCAGCCGCGGUAAUACGGAGGAUGCGAGCGUUGUCCGGAUUUAUUGGGUUUAAAGGGAGCGUAGGUGGAUUGUUAAGUCAGGUGUGAAAGUUUGCGGCUCAACCGUAAAAUUGCAGUUGAAACUGGUAGUCUUGAGUACAGUAGAGGUGGGCGGAAUUCGUGGUGUAGCGGUGAAAUGCUUAGAUAUCACGAAGAACUCCGAUUGCGAAGGCAGUUCACUGGACUGCAACUGACACUGAGGCUCGAAAGUGUGGGUAUCAAACAGGAUUAGAUACCCUGGUAGUC